CGAGUUUGUGUGUUUCUGUGUAUGUCUGUAUAGUAAGUUAGGUAAAAUAUCUUAAUUUGUGUUCUGAAGAUGAACUUACAGGUGUGGAACAAAAAGAGAGUAAUUAAGGACCGAAUUUUAAUUUUGUGACCUCGUUGACAUGAGAUGUGUUGCCAUGAGGGCUUCCAGUACUUCUUGGUGAUGACACAACUGAGUUCUACAAAGCAUGCUUUGCUUUUGAUGAUGGAGACUCGUACCAACAUGUGCCAAAAUGAAGAUGUGGUUCUGCAACCCCUGUCCAUCCAUCUCUCCCCUCCAAGAUGAUUCCUCAUCAUUUGAUGAGGAUGGGUGAUGUAAUGGACAAUUUAGACAACAUACCUCAGGCCAUGUUUUGAAUGUGAAAUCAAAUAAAUUUUAAGUU